rnacentral:rRNA from 1 species
GCGGCCUAUCAGCUUGUUGGUGAGGUAAUGGCUUACCAAGGCGACGACGGGUAGCCGGCCUGAGAGGGUGACCGGCCACACUGGGACUGAGACACGGCCCAGACUCCUACAGGAGGCAGCAGUGGGGAAUAUUGCACAAUGGGCGCAAGCCUGAUGCAGCGACGCCGCGUGAGGGAUGACGGCCUUCGGGUUGUAAACCUCUUUCAGUAGGGAAGAAGCGUAAGUGACGGUACCUGCAGAAGAAGCGCCGGCUAACUACGUGCCAGCAGCCGCGGUAAUACGUAGGGCGCAAGCGUUAUCCGGAAUUAUUGGGCGUAAAGAGCUCGUAGGCGGUUUGUCGCGUCUGUCGUGAAAGUCCGGGGCUUAACCCCGGAUCUGCGGUGGGUACGGGCAGACUAGAGUGCAGUAGGGGAGACUGGAAUUCCUGGUGUAGCGGUGGAAUGCGCAGAUAUCAGGAGGAACACCGAUGGCGAAGGCAGGUCUCUGGGCUGUAACUGACGCUGAGGAGCGAAAGCAUGGGGAGCGAACAGGAUUAGAUACCCUGGUAGUCCAUGCCGUAAACGUUGGGCACUAGGUGUGGGGGACAUUCCACGUUUUCCGCGCCGUAGCUAACGCAUUAAGUGCCCCGCC